rnacentral:rRNA from 1 species
UUGACGGGGGCCCGCACAAGCGGCGGAGCAUGCGGAUUAAUUCGAUGCAACGCGAAGAACCUUACCAAGGCUUGACAUACACCGGUAACGCCCAGAGAUGGGUGCCCCUUUGUGGUCGGUGUACAGGUGGUGCAUGGUUGUCGUCAGCUCGUGUCGUGAGAUGUUGGGUUAAGUCCCGCAACGAGCGCAACCCCUAUUGUUAGUUGCCAUCAUUCAGUUGGGCACUCUAGCGAGACUGCCGGUAAUAAACCGGAGGAAGGUGGGGAUGACGUCAAAUCAUCAUGCCCCUUAUGACCCGGGCUACACACGUGCUACAAUGGUUGGUACAACGAGUUGCGAGUCGGUGACGGCGAGCUAAUCUCUUAAAGCCAAUCUCAGUUCGGAUUGUAGGCUGCAACUCGCCUACAUGAAGUCGGAAUCGCUAGUAAUCGCGGAUCAGCACGCCGCGGUGAAUACGUUCCCGGGCCUU